GAUGAACGCUGGCGGCGUGCCUAAUACAUGCAAGUCGAGCGAAUGGAUUAAGAGCUUGCUCUUAUGACGUUAGCGGCGGACGGGUGAGUAACACGUGGGUAACCUGCCCAUAAGACUGGGAUAACUCCGGGAAACCGGGGCUAAUGCCGGAUAACAUUUUGAACCGCAUGGUUCGAAAUUGAAAGGCGGCUUCGGCUGUCACUUAUGGAUGGACCCGCGUCGCAUUAGCUAGUUGGUGGGGUAACGGCUCACCAAGGCAACGAUGCGUAGCCGACCUGAGAGGGUGAUCGGCCACACUGGGACUGAGACACGGCCCAGACUCCUACGGGAGGCAGCAGUAGGUAAUCUUCCGCAAUGGACGAAAGUCUGACGGAGCAACGCCGCGUGAGUGAUGAAGGCUUUCGGGUCGUAAAACUCUGUUGUUAGGGAAGAACAAGUGCUAGUUGAAUAAGCUGGCACCUUGACGGUACCUAACCAGAAAGCCACGGCUAACUACGUGCCAGCAGCCGCCGUAA
rnacentral:rRNA from 1 species